rnacentral:rRNA from 1 species
AGAGCGAACGCUGGCGGCAGGCCUAACACAUGCAAGUCGAGCGCCCCGCAAGGGGGAGCGGCAGACGGGAGAGUAACACGUGGGAACGUACCCUUGGUUCGGAACAACACAGGGAAACUUGUGCUAAUACCGGAUAAGCCCUUACGGGGAAAGAUUUAUUGCCAAAGGAUCGGCCCGCGUCUGAUUAGCUUGUUGGUGAGGUAACGGCUCACCAAGGCUACGAUCAGUAGCUGGUCUGAGAGGAUGAUCAGCCUCACUGGGACUGAGACACGGCCCAGACUCCUACGGGAGGCAGCAGUGGGGAAUAUUGGACAAUGGGCGCAAGCCUGAUCCAGCCAUGCCGCGUGGAUGAUGAAGGCCCUAGGGUUGUAAAGUCCUUUCGACGGGGAAGAUAAUGACGGUACCCGUAGAAGAAGCCCCGGCUAACUUCGUGCCAGCAGCCGC